UUAUAAAAUUGUAAAUUUAAUUUUAUAAUGAAAAUAUAAUGUUUUACUUAAACUAUAUAAAUAGAAAU
rnacentral:tRNA from 1 species